CAUCCUGCCAACAGAACAAAAACAGUGCUCGUGGGGACGAAGAGCGCACUUGUCCGGAGCUCCUCUCCUGGCUAAAGCCCCUCACCCCACCCCCAGGGUCACCCGGACCAGUGUUCCCACAUUAGCCACAGAUUCCACGCGCAGCACCACACUGGGGGCGAGCCCACGUGGUCCCUGCCCCUGAAGCCAUCACCGCCGUGAUGGGGAGAUGCAGCUGACACAGGUGAGGGGGGAGAGUUAAACAGUGGCCCAUAGCUCCAGUUCCCAGAGCUGUGGGAAGGCUGAGGAAGACAGUAAAGUGAGGCCAGGAACAAGGGAAACGGUUGGGAGAGGUGGGCCCUGCCCUGGGCGAAGGGGCCAAGGCAAGACUCCAGGGAACAGAGGCAGGGUCACGGGCCUGAAGGCCCACGUAGUGCACGGGUAUGGCCGACCUCCUGGGGAACAGGAGUCCUUGCCCUUUGAUGGAGGGAGCACCAGAGAGACGGGCCAGCUGAGAGGCUACCCGGCCUGCCGUGCCAACAGGAGUUCGGCAGAGGGUCCUGGGCACCUUCCACCUGGGCUCCUCCAACAAAUCCACCUCUGCCCGGGCCAGGAGGCAGCGAGAGAUCCGGGCCACAUCUUGGCCUCUGGGCACGAGGCUGGGGUGGGGUGACAUUCUCAGCGAAGUGAAGGUGUGUACCUAACUCCAGGCAUAAAACCAGAGACAGGCACACAUAAAGUUUACCGUAAAUCUCUUGUUCGAAGUCCUACCGCCUGAGUGCCAGGAAUGUGUCAAUCAGAGAAAUAAAAGACAAAAAAAAGCACAUGCCAAAAAUGCCCAAAAAGGUGAGCUGAGGUGACACUAACGGGCCAGCACUGGGCCCCUCGGCUUGCUGCGUGACUCUGGGCUGGUCACUUUCUCUUCUAAGCCCGUGUCUCCCUUGUGAAAGGAGAGGCUGGCCUCAGAGGCCCCCCAGCUCUGACAUCCCAUGAGAUAACAUCCAGCACCACAGCCAGCUCUGCCGGAACCAGAGAGAGGGAGAGGGCGGGGCUGGGGGAUGGGCACAAAGCCAAGUGCGCAUCUGGACUUCCUCUUCUCAUUUUCUGAGGGGAAGAGGGGUGAAGCAGAGCCCAAGGUGAGUUCCGGUCCCCCGCCCAGCAAGCAGCAGAGAAGCACACAGCCCUAGGCUCAUCCUGGCUCAGCCACUUACUAGCUGUGUGUCCUUUGCAGGUAGCUUAACCUCUCUGAACUUGUCUCCUCAGCAUGCCUCCUCGCCUGAAGAGCUAGAAUAACUGGUGAGGACUAAGUGAGCCCCAAGGUAGCCGUGUGCUCUGUAAACGCAACCACACGACGUUCCAGAAAUGGAGAGCACCACGAGCAUCUCAAACUCUUUGCAGUCUUAAGUUGAUCCAGCCCAUGACCCACCGCUCCACCACCACCUGCUACUUAGUGAGCAGGAAGACAUGCCACACACACGCCGCAGGCAAUGGACUGAGCCACACACAGUACCCAGCGGGCCCAGUCCACGCUCUGCGGCUGCGCGCCCUGGGAGAAGUGGGCUGCGGCCGGGGCGUUCUGCCUCAGCUUUCUAAGUAAAGAGGCCUUGGAUGAGAUCAGCCACCUGCCUGGUCAUCUACCCAGGCCUGGCCCUGUCCAAGCCACCCUCUGGGGUGAGCCUGCCACCCCUUAGAGUACAGGUGGGAUUCGUAGCCCUACUCAGAAAACCCUCAACAGUCCCCCUGAAUAAAAGCAAAACUUUCUCAUGUU